rnacentral:rRNA from 1 species
AUGGAAGGAAGUCUCCGGUGCAGCAACAUAACGGGCCAUCUCAUCAAGCUCAACCUCCGAAAUACUGACCCGGACUACAUGGAAGACUACAUGGGCUACUACCUCUACAACGACCUGGACAAGAGCAGAACAUUGAGCUUGUCGGCAGGCGAGAUGAGCUCUUCUUUGGCUACUUUAAAACACCUGAGGUAUCUUGAUCUGAGCAGGAAUGACUUCAACGACACGAGCAUCCCUGUGUUCUUGGCUUCCCUCAAGAACCUAAGGUAUCUCAACCUCUCGCGGGCAGGAUUCGGUGGGAGAAUACCUUCCCAACUUGGCGAUCUGUCAAAGUUGCAAUAUCUUGAUCUCAGUUGGAAUUAUGAUUAUUAUGGGAAGAGGUCUUACAUAGUGGAUCUUACAUGGUUGCCACGUCUCUCUUUGUUGAGCCAUCUUGACAUGAGCGUGGUGGAUCUUAGUUCUGCAAGGGAUUGGUUUCAAAAGGUUAACAUGCUUCCUUCUCUUAAAGUGCUUCGCUUGUCCGACUGUGCACUCAAUGGUAUCGUGUCUGCUAGUAUAUCAAUUUCCAACCUCACACAUCUCGAGAUCCUUGAUAUAUCUGGUAACAACUUCCGCGCUUCACUGAAGCACGCGUGGUUUUGGAAUCUCACAUGCCUUAAAGAGCUUCACCUCUCAGGUUCUGGCUGGGAAGAGUCCAUUCCUAGUGAUUUGGCAAACAUGACGUCCCUUCAAGUCAUAGAUUUUAGUAGGAAUUCGAAUGAUCUCGUGGGUUUGAUACCAAACAAAUUAGAAAAUUUGUGCAAUUUGACAAGACUAUGGUUCAGUGGUAACAACGUAGGUUCGAGUGUAGGGGAGUUCAUGGGGCGACUUCCAAAGUGCUCAUGGAAUACACUGCAAGAAUUUUCGGUGGUGGAUGCAAAUAUGACCGGGAGUCUACCCAUUUGGAUUGGUAACAUGACCAAUCUCAGUGUUCUUCAAGCAUCUGGAAACAUGUUGACUGGCCCUCUGCCUGUAGGAGUUGGAGCAAUGAGUAAUUUGAAAAGGAUGGACCUCAACUACAAUAACUUCAACGGUGUGCUCUUGAAAGAACAUUUUGCAAGCUUAGGAAAAUUAGAGCUUUUGGGCCUCAGCCAUAAUAACUUCAGCGGGGUCCUCUUGAAAGAACAAUUUGCAAGCUUAGAAAAAUUAGAGGUAUUGGAUCUUAGCUACAAUAACUUCAACGGCGUGCUCUUUAAAGAACAAUUUGCAAGCUUAGGCAAAUUAGAGGUAUUGGACUUCAGCCACAAUAACUUCAGCGGUGUGCUCUUCAAAGAAAAUUUUGCAGCUUUAGGUCAUUUAAAACGAUUGGACCUCAACGACAAUAAAUUCAAUGGUGUGCUCAUAGAGGAGUAUUUUGUGAGGCUAUUGUAUUUAGAGUAUCUGGACUUGUCAUACAACUCUUUGAUAUUAGCUAUCAACAAAAAAUGGGUUCCUCCAUUUAGAUUGAAGAUUGCGAAAUUCCAAUCAUGCCAACUGGGGCCCAUUUUUCCAGAGUGGCUUAAAUGGCAAUCUGAUAUUCAUGUUCUUAUUCUCAAUGAUGCAAAUCUGGAUGAUGUUAUUCCUGAUUGGUUUUGGGUGACAUUUUCCCGAGCUUCAACCUUGCAAGCAUUAGGAAACAAAUUGAGUGGCUCAUUACCGGCAAAUCUACAACACAUGUCAGCUGAGUAUAUAUAUAUAUGGGGCCCAAUAAGUUGA